ensembl:lncRNA
UGUAAGAUGUUACAGAGGCUCGGGACGGCAAAAAUGUCCAUGUUCUGCUGUCCAGAAUCGGACCAUACAAGCUGUUUUAUUGGGACAUCUGUAGGAUAACUCCGGGUCAGGAACUUGAGAGUGAGGUGAUCAAUGCCACCCUGCUCAGAAUGGUCCAGAAGCACAAUUGCCAAGGGGGGAAAAAGGCACUUUGCAUUGAUACAUAUGCCAUGACACAAAUUUGGAACAGGAAGACUGCAAUUCUAAGGAAGUGUGAUCCAUCAUUGUAUGGAGUCAUUCUGGGGGUAGUGAAUGAGCCAAAUCAUUGGAUACUCACAGUCAUCUUCCCCUCAGAACAGAGGAGCCUUGUGCUGGAUCCACUCGGCAACGAUGCCUCCAAGAUCACAAGAUGUCUGGAGACCACAAGAGCAUUCAUGAGAGCGAGGGGCUGUACGGUGUCCAGGUGGAAAGCCAACACUGUGCCACAUAGCCUACAACAGGAUUCCACUUCAUGUGGAAUAUUUGCCAUCAAAUAUGCUGAGAAAGUCCUGGCAGAGGAGUCUCCUACUUUCCCAAACUCUGAAGGGGCAGUGGUUAAAUACAGGAGGGAAAUUGCUGUAGCACUUCUCAAUGAGACUGAUGAUCUCAGUGAGCUGUGCCACCACUGUGGAGAGGGAGAAGAAGCGCGAGGGGGGUCUCAAGACAGACCUGAUGCCACUGACUGGGUCAACCAUUCUCAGAGAUCGUCUGAGACUCCACUGAAGACAUGGCUAUUAGUGAAAGAAGAUGGAGAGAUUCUCAAGUGACUUAAACUGUGCACGGUGCUUUUGACUGAAGCAACAUGGAUCUUUUUUGGGUCGUAUCGCUGUUUUUGUUACCUCUCCUGUUUUAUCCGGAUAUCAUCGCUGCUGCCUGCCCAGCCAGGAGGCAAUACAGCAGAAGUGAGUUGCUUCAACUUAAAUUUGUGAGACCGGCUGGCGUGCCAGACACCACGCUACAGAUUCCAGGUCUCAUCCGAAGAUAUCCAAAUAACAUCCACGGAGAAACGGGGGAGAAGAGGGGGAGGCGAGGAGGAGUCCGGCUACGACUGAGGAAGAUGCCGCUUAACCGGCUCCCGCUGCCCUCUAUGAUCCUCGGAAAUGUGCAAUCACUAAGAAAUAAAAUGGAUAAACUCCAGGGGAAUGCCCGCUUUCUUAAGGAUUUUAAAGAGUGCUGCGUGAUGGCGUUUACAGAGACAUGGUUAACCGAGCGCGACCAGGACUCGGACCUGAUGAUCAGCGGCUUUGGAGCUCCGCACCGCCUAGAUCGGAACAGUGAGGUGACUAAGAAAACGCAGGGAGGGGGGGAAAAAAGAAUUCAGCUCAUGGCAUCAGGGAAGGUUGCUGUCCAGACCCAUGGCCUCUCUUUCCAGCUGUGCCACUACAUUGGAGGAUUCCAUGAGGGAAUCCCUCGUCUGAGAAUGGAACAGCUGCUUCACGUUCUGCAAGAGAGUGAACACCUCAUCAGAAGGCCGGUGGUAGAGGACACAGGACUCGGUCUUUGUCAUGUCAGGCGGUGAUGGGUCUACCAGCUGCUCCACUCUCACAACCUCAGAAGCACUGCAGCUGCUGUUCUGGGUGUCCAGGAAAUCCACCAAGUGUGUACCUGGACGAUGCAUCAUCCAGAUCUUGCUGGACCUCCGGUAUUGUUGCUGGUGUCCAGCUGCCCUGGGGACCGAUCUUCAGGCCAGUGUUUCUGCUAGAAGAAAUUGGUGCCAGUCAUGUGACCGGGAAGGUUUCAUUUUACCGGUCAAAUUGGAAAAAAAACGGUCGGAUAUUGUCCGUGUUUAUUGCACUUAAAAAAAUUGAUAGGCAGGCUAUAUAAAGAAGAAGAAGUGUGUGAUCAUAUUUUGAUUCGCCAUGGUUGUUAAAUACCGGUGCUCCGCAAAGCUUGCCACCGGCUUUCGCUAGCUUGCCGCCGUUUAGUUCAUAAACCUACGGUAGUCUACUAGGGGAGCGUGUCUAUGUUCCCCGAGUCCUAUGUUCCCCUCUAUGUAUGAGGCUGGGUAACAUAGGACCCUUUUUUUUAAAAGGGUCCUAUGUUCCCUGCUUUUCCCAAAAAAGGGUCCUAUGUUCCCCGAUAUGUUUGUGACCGGGGAACAUAGGACCUUUUUUUUAAAAAGGGUUCUAUGUUCCCCGGUCUGUUACUUUUUCCACCGUUACUGCAUAAUUCCGGCCGAGAUAACUACCAUUGCAU